UACGUAGGGGGCAAGCGUUGUCCGGAUUAUUGGGCGUAAAGAGCGUGUAGGCGGCCAGGUAGGUCUGCUGUGAAACUCGAGGCUCAACCUCGAGACGUCGGCGGGAACCAUCUGGCUAGAGUCCGGAAGAGGAGAGUGGAAUUCCUGGUGUAGCGGUGAAAUGCGCAGAUAUCAGGAAGAACACCCGUGGCGAAGGCGGCUCUCUGGGACGGUACUGACGCUGAGACGCGAAAGCGUGGGGAGCGAACAGG
rnacentral:rRNA from 1 species